GACGAACGCUGGCGGCGUGCUUAACACAUGCAAGUCGAACGAUGAACUUGGAGCUUGCUCUGGGGGAUUAGUGGCGAACGGGUGAGUAACACGUGAGUAACCUGCCCUGGACUCUGGGAUAACUUCGAGAAAUCGGAGCUAAUACCGGAUAGGACCUUGCACCGCAUGGUGUGGGGUGGAAAGUUUUUCGGUUUGGGAUGGACUCGCGGCCUAUCAGCUUGUUGGUGGGGUAAUGGCUCACCAAGGCGUCGAGGGGUAGCCGGCGUGAGAGGGUGACCGGCCACACUGGGACUGAGACACGGCCCAGACUCCUACGGGAGGCAGCAGUGGGGAAUAUUGCACAAUGGGCGCAAGCCUGAUGCAGCAACGCCGCGUGCGGGAUGACGGCCUUCGGGUUGUAAACCGCUUUUAGUAGGGAAGAAGCCUUCGGGUGACGGUACCUGCAGAAAAAGAACCGGCUAACUACGUGCCAGCAGCCGCCGUAACAC
rnacentral:rRNA from 1 species